rnacentral:rRNA from 1 species
UGGUCAAGUUAUUAAGGGUGCAGGGCGGAUGCCUUGGCACUAGGAGCCGAUGAAGGACGUGAUAAGCUGCGAUAAGCUUCGGGGAGUUGCACGUAAACUUUGAUCCGAAGAUUUCCGAAUGAGGAAACUCACUUAGAGUAAUGUCUAAGUAUCAUUAAGUGAAUACAUAGCUUAAUGAGGGGAACUCAGGGAACUGAAACAUCUAAGUACCUGAAGGAAGAGAAAGAAAUUCGAUUCCGUAAGUAGCGGCGAGCGAACGCGGAUUAGCCCAAACCAAUAAAGUUUUCUUUAUUGGGGUUGCGGACAUAUCAUAACGAAGAGGUAUCGUAAUUGAAGAG